UGUGUGUGAAGUGGAGGCCAGAAGAUCUUUGCUUGUCAUUCAACUACCUUGAGUCUGUUUACCUUUGUUUAUUUUAGUGAAGUUGCUGGUUUGUUUUUGAAGCAGUCUCCCAUGGGCCUAGAGCUCUUUCUCCAAGUAGGCUAUGGUGGCUGAGCGACAAGUCCCAGAAAUCUAACUACUGCAUUUCUCAGCUCUGGCUUACACAUGUCACUAUGCCUGGGUUAUUUCCCAUGGGUUUUGGGGAUCAAACCCAGGCCCUCACGUCUGCAAAACAUUACCUCUCUAACUGAGCCAUUCCGCUAACCCUCUGCUUGGACUUCCUGGCAAAGGCUCUUCUUUCAACAAAGCCACUAACAGAUAGCUCCCUGGCACCGGCCCAAAGCACCAACCUUGGCUCUUUUCUUUCUGGAGCCAGUAGGCUUUGGGGCAGCUGCUCCAAGCACAGAUACUCCCCUUACCAGCCUUAGCCCUGUCUGUACCAACUGCAUGGUAUUGCCACAGUCCUGGCUUCGAGUUACCCUCCUCAGCAGGCUGGCCCCAACAGACAAGGACAUACUGAAUAGAUAACAGCCUUCCUGACAGGUAUGUGAGCCAAGGUGCCUGGUUUCCAGCCCACAACAGUAGCCUUUGGCUCGCUACCAUCUGCAAGGUCUUCCAUGCCACAGAUUCGGGGCAUGGAGAACCCAACUGUCCAUUGCCAGAAUCCUGUCACUGGACUCCCGCCACCUGUCCAGACACUUAGGCUGUCCAACUGGACACGCUUGCUGCUCAUCGCAGAUGCUGCCAGGCCCCUGAACCCUGGCUCCAAAUGUCUGGCCAGCUUCUUCCUGACCUCUGCCCUUCCCCCGUUCCACUGCCCAUGUCUGGUUAUAGGUCAGGCCUCAUCCAGUCAGCCUAUUAGCCUUUCUGUGUCUGUCUCCCUGCCAACCCUCCCAAGCAGUUUAGGCUGGUUAAGAGUGAGGGGACCCAGGCCUCUUCUUGUUCCUUCUUGGGGCAGAGAAUACACUUAUAACCUGAUCUGCCACGGAGCUUCCUUCCCACCCUUCAAGGACCUUGUCCACCCCAGGGUCUGCAGCCGGUUCCUCCCAGUCAGGUCAGAUCCCCUUGUUCGUUCCACACUGCUCACGGAGGCCUGCCUGCCUGCCUGCCUGCCUGAGCAGCCCCUGUGAGGGAAGAUGGGAGCAUAGGGUAAGAAGGUCAAGCUGACCUUGAGCUGCGUGUUGCCUCUACUGCCUCAGACAGAGAAGCCAAGUACCACAUCUCUCCCUCUGUGUUUACCUCCUGUCCUCCUAGAGAGUCCUCCUGAGAGAGGUGACUCAGUGGUUUGGAGCACUAGUUUGGGGAUCAAACAUGCUUGCCUUGGAAAUCAAGAUCUGCUGUGUUUACUGUAUAACCCGGAACAAGUGUCCUACCCUUUCUGAUACAUCCUUCCUCCAUUUUCAAAAUCAGAGCCGGCUGGGGCCGGGGAGGUGGUUCAGUGGGUAAAAAGGGCUUGCCCUAAGAGGCCUGAUGACCCGAGUUCAGUUCCUUGAGCCCAGGUAAAAAGGUAGAUGUGGCAAUACACUUCUGAGAUAGUCCCAGAUGCUGCCUGCAAGGAUGCACAACAGAGGGCUAGAACGAGAAACCCUGCCUCAAAACAACGUGGAAGGAGAGAGCUGACUCCCCGGAAGUGAUCCUCUAACCUCCAUGAGCACCAUUAACUGAAUGUACCUACCACACUCAACAGGCAUCUAGAAUCAAUCAGUCACCGGAAGUCAGCAGGCAUAUAGAAUCAGUCAGUCACCGGAAGAGGGAACGUCACUUGGAGAAUUGCCCCCAUCAGAUUGGCCUAUGACCAGGUCUGUGAAGCAUUUCCUUCAUUUCACUGAUGUAAGAGGACCAGCCCACUGUGGGAAGUGCUGUCCCUAGGCAGGAUACGGCUCUGCUUUCUAACGCUUCUGUGCCCAGGACCUUGGAAGAAAGAGAAAUCUUCCCGGCCUUUCCAGGAGGCUACGUGAAGGCGAGAGAUGGUGACGUGACUGCUGUGUCAGUAACAGGAGGCAGGUGGGCAACAGAGAAGUGCCAGUGCCUUCUGGGAAGCCUAGUGUGAAAUGGCAAUACAUUGACUCUCACUGACUCUGCUUAGCUGGGUGACUAUGGGUGGAUAUGAAAUACCCCACCCCACCCCGCUCACCAGCCUCAGUUUCCCCAAGGGUACAGUGGGUUGAUAACAAUGGCACCCUUAUGAAUGGUCACUGGGAGGAAGCUAUCCACGACCCUUCACCCAUCCCCUCUGUGUGGCUUGCACUCGCCGGGAACCCAAGAAUGGGUUUGGAUCCAAGCACUACCGCUUCCUAGCAAGUGUCCUUGUAUGACUCACUGAACUUCCUGUAGUUGUUGCCUUAGCUGGAAAACUGAUUGGUUGAUAAGGAACUGUCAGUUGCUGAGAAACUUAACAGUGUCUUUGGCAAUAUCUAAAGAAAGUCUGCUAACUUUUAGUACUCUAUCGCAGUGGUCCUCAACCUUCCUAAUGCUGUGACCCUUUCAUAAGUCCCUCCUGCCCUGGUGACCCCCAACCAUAAAAUUAUUUUCGUUGCUACUUCA
rnacentral:sRNA from 1 species